rnacentral:rRNA from 1 species
AUACGGAGGGGGCUAGCGUUGUUCGGAUUUACUGGGCGUAAAGCGCGCGUAGGCGGUAUAUCAAGUUAGGCGUGAAAGCCCCGGGCUCAACCCGGGAACUGCGCUUAUUACUGAUAAACUAGAGUCCGGGAGAGGGUGGCGGAAUUCCCAGUGUAGAGGUGAAAUUCGUAGAUAUUGGGAAGAACACCAGUUGCGAAGGCGGCCACCUGGACCGGUACUGACGCUGAGGUGCGAAAGCGUGGGGAGCAAACAGGAUUAGAAACCCUAGUAGUCC